rnacentral:rRNA from 1 species
AACGAACGCUGGCGGCAGGCUUAACACAUGCAAGUCGAACGGGUGUAGCAAUACAUCAGUGGCAGACGGGUGAGUAACACGUGGGAACCUUCCUAGGGGUACGGAACAACUCAGGGAAACUCGAGCUAAUACCGUAUACGUCCGAAAGGAGAAAGAUUUAUCGCCCUUAGACGGGCCCGCGUCGGAUUAGCUAGUUGGUGGGGUAACGGCCUACCAAGGCAACGAUCCGUAGCUGAUCUGAGAGGAUGAUCAGCCACACUGGGACUGAGACACGGCCCAGACUCCUACGGGAGGCAGCAGUGGGGAAUCUUGGACAAUGGGCGCAAGCCUGAUCCAGCCAUGCCGCGUGAGUGAAGAAGGCCUUAGGGUUGUAAAGCUCUUUUGGCAGGGACGAUAAUGACGGUACCUGCAGAAUAAGCCCCGGCAAACUUCGUGCCAGCAGCAGCCGCAGUAA